rnacentral:rRNA from 2 species
UGGGGGAUAUUGCGCAAUGGGGGCAACCCUGACGCAGCAACGCCGCGUGAAGGAUGAAGGUUUUCGGAUUGUAAACUUCUUUUAUUAAGGACGAAACUUGACGGUACUUAAUGAAUAAGCUCCGGCUAACUACGUGCCAGCAGCCGCGGUAAUACGUAGGGAGCAAGCGUUGUCCGGAUUUACUGGGUGUAAAGGGUGCGUAGGCGGCUUUGCAAGUCAGAUGUGAAAUCUAUGGGCUCAACCCAUAAACUGCAUUUGAAACUGUAGAGCUUGAGUGAAGUAGAGGCAGGCGGAAUUCCCCGUGUAGCGGUGAAAUGCGUAGAGAUGGGGAGGAACACCAAUGGCGAAGGCGGCCUGCUGGGCUUUAACUGACGCUGAGGCACGAAAGCGUGGGUAGCAAACAGGAUUAGAUACCCUGGUAGUCCACGCUGUAAACGAUGAUUACUAGGUGUGGGGGGUCUGACCCCUUCCGUGCCGGAGUUAACACAAUAAGUAAUCCACCUGGGGAGUACGGCCGCAAGGUUGAAACUCAAAGGAAUUGACGGGGGCCCGCACAAGCAGUGGAGUAUGUGGUUUAAUUCGAAGCAACGCGAAGAACCUUACCAGGUCUUGACAUCCAACUAACGAAGUAGAGAUACAUUAGGUGCCCUUCGGGGAAAGUUGAGACAGGUGGUGCAUGGUUGUCGUCAGCUCGUGUCGUGAGAUGUUGGGUUAAGUCCCGCAACGAGCGCAACCCUUGCUAUUAGUUGCUACGCAAGAGCACUCUAAUAGGACUGCCGUUGACAAAACGGAGGAAGGUGGGGACGACGUCAAAUCAUCAUGCCCCUUAUGACCUGGGCUACACACGUACUACAAUGGAUGUUAACAGAGGGAAGCAAGACAGCGAUGUGGAGCAAACCCCUAAAAACAUUCUCAGUUCAGAUUGCAGGCUGCAACCCGCCUGCAUGAAGAUGGAAUUGCUAGUAAUCGCGGAUCAGCAUGCCGCGGUGAAUACGUUCCC